rnacentral:tRNA from 1 species
GAGCCGUUAGCUCAGCUGGUAGAGCAUCUGACUUUUAAUCAGAGGGUCAGAGGUUCGAAUCCUCUAUGGCUCA